rnacentral:rRNA from 1 species
UACGAGGGGGGCGAGCGUUGUCCGGAAUCACUGGGCGUAAAGGGCGCGUAGGCGGCUCAUGAAGGCUGUGGUGAAAGUCCGGGGCUCAACCUCGGAUCGGCCGUGGCGACUCGUGGGCUGGAGCACUGUAGAGGCGGGUGGAAUUCCGGGUGUAGCGGUGGAAUGCGUAGAGAUCCGGAAGAACACCAGUGGCGAAGGCGGCCCGCUGGGCAGUGGCUGACGCUGAGGCGCGACAGCGUGGGGAGCAAACAGG